rnacentral:lncRNA from 1 species
UGAGGGAUGGAAGAUUCCAAUCAUACUUGGCUUUGGAUGGCCCAUCCUGCCUACAUGAUCGGAUUGCGAGAGAAACGUGUGGAAGUGAUAUCUGAUUCUUAUUUAGAAUGUUGUCGCUUUUCAUGAGAUGUUUUUGCCUUGGGUUACAAGGUAUUGUUUAGUGUUUGGGGUUUUACCUCUUUUGAUUAAUAAUCCAGGACUGCAAUGAAAUUACCAUCAGUACACUUAACAAACAAAGUGUCCAUGAUUUCAGACGUUGAAAAAAGACCCCUAAAACUAAUAUCGAUUUAGAGUUCUUAAUAAAUACUUUUAAAAUAAAUAUUGUAUGUAUCUUUUAAUAAAUUUUGAGAUGAAAACAAGUAUAUAUUUAUAU